AUGAACGCUAGCUACAGGCUUAACACAUGCAAGUCGAGGGGCAGCAUGGUCUUAGCUUGCUAAGGCUGAUGGCGACCGGCGCACGGGUGAGUAACACGUAUCCAACCUGCCGUCUACUCUUGGACAGCCUUCUGAAAGGAAGAUUAAUACAAGAUGGCAUCAUGAGUCCGCAUGUUCACAUGAUUAAAGGUAUUCCGGUAGACGAUGGGGAUGCGUUCCAUUAGAUAGUAGGCGGGGUAACGGCCCACCUAGUCUUCGAUGGAUAGGGGUUCUGAGAGGAAGGUCCCCCACAUUGGAACUGAGACACGGUCCAAACUCCUACGGGAGGCAGCAGUGAGGAAUAUUGGUCAAUGGGCGAGAGCCUGAACCAGCCAAGUAGCGUGAAGGAUGACUGCCCUAUGGGUUGUAAACUUCUUUUAUAAAGGAAUAAAGUCGGGUAUGGAUACCCGUUUGCAUGUACUUUAUGAAUAAGGAUCGGCUAACUCCGUGCCAGCAGCCGCGGUAAUACGGAGGAUCCGAGCGUUAUCCGGAUUUAUUGGGUUUAAAGGGAGCGUAGAUGGAUGUUUAAGUCAGUUGUGAAAGUUUGCGGCUCAACCGUAAAAUUGCAGUUGAUACUGGAUAUCUUGAGUGCAGUUGAGGCAGGCGGAAUUCGUGGUGUAGCGGUGAAAUGCUUAGAUAUCACGAAGAACUCCGAUUGCGAAGGCAGCCUGCUAAGCUGCAACUGACAUUGAGGCUCGAAAGUGUGGGUAUCAAACAGGAUUAGAUACCCUGGUAGUCCACGCCGUAAACGAUGUCGACUUGGAGGUUGUGCCCUUGAGGCGUGGCUUCCGGAGCUAACGCGUUAAGUCGACCGCCUGGGGAGUACGGCCGCAAGGUUGAAACUCAAAGGAAUUGACGGGGGCCCGCACAAGCAGCGGAGCAUGUGGUUUAAUUCGACGCAACGCGAAGAACCUUACCAAGUCUUGACAUCCUGCGACGGUGCUGGAAACAGUACUUUCCUUCGGGACGCAGAGACAGGUGGUGCAUGGUUGUCGUCAGCUCGUGUCGUGAGAUGUUGGGUUAAGUCCCGCAACGAGCGCAACCCUUAUUGCCAGUUACUACGCAAGAGGACUCUAGCAAGACUGCCGUUGACAAAACGGAGGAAGGUGGGGAUGACGUCAAAUCAGCACGGCCCUUACGUCCGGGGCUACACACGUGUUACAAUGGGGGGUACAGAGGGCCGCUACCACGCGAGUGGAUGCCAAUCCCCAAAACCUCUCUCAGUUCGGACUGGAGUCUGCAACCCGACUCCACGAAGCUGGAUUCGCUAGUAAUCGCGCAUCAGCCACGGCGCGGUGAAUACGUUCCCGGGCCUUGUACACACCGCCCGUCAAGCCAUGGGAGCCGGGGGUACCUGAAGUGCGUAACCGCGAGGAGCGCCCUAGGGUAAAACUGGUGACUGGGGCU
rnacentral:rRNA from 1 species